rnacentral:lncRNA from 1 species
UUUUUUUCCCUUCUCUUUUCGCUCACUUCUAUUUUUAGAGAACACUUCUUCUCCAAAUUAUACAUACUCUGAUUAAUAUCAGAGAUUUUCUUCCGUAAAUCGGAUAAUAAUCUCUGGUUUAAACCGAUAAUAAGCUUCCGACAUGAUUGGAUUGUUCUGCCUAUUCUUCUCUAUAUUUGGGUUCUCUUGUAGUUUUGAGAUGGUGCUUCAGAUUCGGUGGUAGGUGCUCUGAUUCUUCUUUUUCAAUUUUGGCAUCAUCUUCUCUUCAUUGGGAGUAAAUCUCCCCAUAAUCCCUAUCAAAGCCUCCGUAGCAAAAGGGAUGAGUUUUGAGCAAAAAUGAUUGGCGGCGAGUUUAAUGAAGAAGAUAGUUUUCUGACCACAAUUAUUCAUUGGAUCUCAAAAGAGAAGUAGUUAAACAAUAAAAGAGCAGCGGUUUUCAUGGAAGAUGUAGCUCCGAUUGGAGUUUGUCAUGAUUCAGACUCUUCAGGUUCUGGUUUUCCGGCGAAGUUUUGAACCUCGCCAAUGUUGGCGUCUUCUUCUCACCGUCUACCAACAUUCAUCCCAGGCUUCCACGUGUUAACACGUGUUUUAUUUUAUCAUCCUUAUCUUUAGGAUUUGGAUUAUAAUUGGGUUGUAAUUUAAAAGCUUGGGCUGCAAACUGUUGUAUUUUACUCAGUUUUUGGGCUUUCGUAUAAAACGAAAAGUCGACAAAAAAAGGAAAUCCCAAAACACACUCUUACCUUUUGGUUGUUCACUCUUGAUAGAAAUCCGACAAUAGACAGAUUGAUUUCUUGGGUUUUGAUGUGGUCAUCAGACCAGUAGCUGAGCCAAAACUCCAUCAAAUGUGCCAUUCAAGCCGCUUAAGACACAUGUGCAUUUCAAGGAGCAUUCAAAAUAAAAAAACAAAGAUUCAGAGCAUGAGACAACUUGGAAAAUUUUAUAAACUCAUCAAGGAAACACCACAAACUGGAAUCAAUCCAAUCAAAGUUCAGACGAAGGAGUUAUUCAGCUGUCAACUUGUGUGAUAUGGAGCUUACCCGAUUUGAACAUAUACACAAUAAUUGGAGGUUUCCAACCGAAUCAAGAAGAACUAAGCUACACACCGACUUCUUCUGGAAUAUUGA